rnacentral:tRNA from 1 species
CCUGGUAGCUCAGAUGGUAAAGCAUCUGCCUACAAUGCAGGAGACCCGGGUUUGAUCCCUGGGUCAGGA